AGAAUCAACGCUGGCGGCGUGCCUAACACAUGCAAGUCGAACGCGAAAGCCCGCAAGGGUAAGUAGAGUGGCGCACGGGUGAGUAACACGUGGACAACCUGCCUUCGAGUGGGGAAUAACCUUCCGAAAGGAGGGCUAAUACCGCAUAACACCCCGGGACAUAAGUUCUGGGGUUGAAAAGAGCAAUUUGCUCGAAGAGGGGUCCGCGCCUGAUUAGCUAGUUGGUGAGGUAACGGCUCACCAAGGCUUCGAUCAGUAGCCGUCCUGAGAGGGAGCGACGGCCGACACUGGAACUGAGACGCGGUCCAGACUCCUACGGGAGGCAGCAGUGGGGAAUUUUGGCAAUGGGCGAAAGCCUGACCAAGCAACGCCGCGUGGGUGAUGAAGUAUCUUGGUACGUAAAACCCUUUCGGCAGGGACGAACCUAAUGACGGUACCUGCGGAAGAAGCCCCGACUAACUCCGUGCCAGCAGCCGC
rnacentral:rRNA from 1 species